rnacentral:rRNA from 1 species
UACCAGCUCUCCGAGUGGUAGGGAUGAUUAUUGGGCUUAAAGCGUCCGUAGCCGGCUUGGCAAGUUUCCUGUUAAACUCUGCGACUUAAUCGUUGAAUCGCGGGAAAUACUACUAGGCUAGGAGGCGGGAGAGGUCAACGGUACUUCUGGGGUAGGGGUGAAAUCCUAUAAUCCCGGGAGGACCACCAGUGGCGAAGGCUGUUGACUAGAACGCGCUCGACGGUGAGGGACGAAAGCUGGGGGAGCGAACCGGAUUAGAUACCCGGGUAGUCCCAGCUGUAAACGAUGCGGGCUAGGUGUUGGGAUGGCUACGUGCCAUUUCAGUGCCGCAGGGAAGCCAUAAGCCCGCCGCCUGGGGAGUACGGCCGCAAGGCUGAAACUUAAAGGAAUUGGCGGGGGAGCACCACAAGGCGUGAAGCUUGCGGUUC